rnacentral:rRNA from 1 species
CGUGUAGGCGGCCUAUUAUGUCAGGUGUGAAAGCCCUCGGCCUAACCGAGGAAGUGCGCCUGAAACUGACAGGCUUGAGUACGAGAGAGGAGGACGGAAUUCCCAGUGUAGAGGUGAAAUUCGUAGAUAUUGGGAGGAACACCGGCGGCGAAAGCGGUUCUCUGGAUCGAUACUGACGCUAAGACGCGAAAGCGUGGGGAGCAAACAGGAUUAGAUACCCUGGUAGUCCACGCCGUAAACGAUGGAUAUUAGUUGUUGCGGGCUUAACCCUCGCAGUGACGACGCUAACGCAUUAAAUAUCCCGCCUGGGGAGUACGGCCGCAAGGUUAAA